UGAGAGUUUGAUCCUAGCUCAGGAUGAACGCUGGCGGCGUGGAUAAGGCAUGCAAGUCGUGCGGUUCCGACGAAUCCCGCAAGGGAAUUGUUGGAAUAGCGGCAAACGGGUUAGUAACACGUAGGUAUUUGCCCCAAAGACGGGAACAACCAGCCGAAAGGUUGGCUAAUACCCGAUGGUCCCGUAAGGGUAAAGGCCCGGCGCAAGUCGUGGCCGCUUUGGGAGGAGCCUGCGGGCUAUCAGCUAGUUGGUGGGGUAACGGCCUACCAAGGCAAUGGCGGCUAGGGGGUGUGAGAGCACGACCCCCAACAUUGGGACUGAGACACGGCCCAGACUCCUACGGGAGGCAGCAGCCGAGAAUAUUCGACAAUGGGCGAAAGCCUGAUCGAGCGACGCCGCGUGUGGGAAGAAGAUCUGCGGAUUGUAAACCACUUUUAUCGGGGAAAAAAUCCAGCACCUUUUUGUUCUGGUGUAUUACGAGGCCAAAAAGGUGCUGGACUGAUUGUACCCGGUGAAUAAGGGGCUGCUAACUUCGUGCCAGCAGCAGCGGUAAUACGAAGGCCCCGAGCGUUAUCCGGAAUCAUUGGGCGUAAAGCGUGUGUAGGCGGUUGGUAUUGUCGGAGGUUAAAUAUCCUGGCCUAACCGGGAAGAUGCUUUCGAAACGUGCCGACUGGAGGGUGUGAGAGACUAGCGGAACUUACGGUGUAGGGGUGAAAUCCGUUGAUAUCGUAGGGAACACCAAAGGCGAAGGCAGCUAGUUGGCGCACUCUUGACGCUGAGACACGAAAGCGUGGGGAUCAAAAAGGAUUAGAUACCCUUGUAGUCC
rnacentral:rRNA from 1 species